AGCGAACGCUGGCGGCAGGCUUAACACAUGCAAGUCGAGCGGGCACCUUCGGGUGUCAGCGGCAGACGGGUGAGUAACACGUGGGAACGUACCCUUCGGUUCGGAAUAACGCUGGGAAACUAGCGCUAAUACCGGAUACGCCCUUAUGGGGAAAGGUUUACUGCCGAAGGAUCGGCCCGCGUCUGAUUAGCUGGUUGGUGGGGUAACGGCCUACCAAGGCGACGAUCAGUAGCUGGUCUGAGAGGAUGAUCAGCCACACUGGGACUGAGACACGGCCCAGACUCCUACGGGAGGCAGCAGUGGGGAAUAUUGGACAAUGGGCGCAAGCCUGAUCCAGCCAUGCCGCGUGAGUGAUGAAGGCCUUAGGGUUGUAAAGCUCUUUUGUCCGGGACGAUAAUGACGGUACCGGAAGAAUAAGCCCCGGCUAACUUCGUG
rnacentral:rRNA from 1 species